rnacentral:lncRNA from 1 species
GAAAUGAGCGCGAGGUGGAUGGAAAGGAGGAAGGGAGAGGGUAAAUUGUAGCAUAGUCAUGCGUGACAUCAGGCAGGAGGUAUUAUGUAUAACCUAGCCAUGUAUGGCAAGGAGGCGGGAAAUAGAAGUGAGUGUGAAAAAUAGUGAUUUGAGGGUGAUGAGGAUGGAAAAGAGGAAGAGAGAGGUUAAAGCAUAGGAUAGCCAUGUAUGGCGUUAGGCAGGCAGAACUAUGUAUAGCAUAGCCGGGUAUAGCAAUGGGGCGGGAAGGGGAAGUGAAGGUAAAACGGAGUUAUGCUAGGUUGAGGAGGACGGAAAAAGGAAGGGAAAGGGUAAAGCAUAUCACAGUCAUGUAUGGCAUUAGGCAGACAGAAC